ensembl:snRNA U6 U6 spliceosomal RNA
UUAGUGUUCUCAGUAUAUAUAAUAAAAUUGGAAUGAUACCAAGAAGAUUAGCAUGGCCCCUGUGCAAGUAUCAAAAAGUUUAGGAUGUUGUGAUUGAAAAUAUU